rnacentral:misc_RNA from 1 species
GAUGAAGAACGUAGCGAAAUGCGAUAAGUAAUGUGAAUUGCAGAAUUCAGUGAAUCAUCGAAUCUUUGAACGCACCUUGCGCCCUUUGGCCAUUCCGAAGGGCAUGCCUGUUUGAGUAUCAUGAACACCUCAACUCUUUAUGGUUUUCCAUGAUGAGCUUGGACUCUGGGGGUUUUGCUGGCUCACAGUCGGCUCCUCUAAAAUGAAUCAGCUUACCAGUGUUUGGUGGGUAUCAUGGGUGUGAUAACUAUCUACGCUUGUGGUUUUUCCACCAGGUAACCUUCAGCAGUGGAGGUUCGCUGGAGCUCAUAGAUGUCUCGCCUCAGUGAGGACAGCCCUUUGAAUGUUUGAUCUCAAAUCAGGUAGGACUACCCGCUGAACUUAAGCAUAUCAAUAAGCGGAGGA